UGGCCUAGUGGUUAAGGCUAUGGAUCGCCAAUCCGGAGACGGCGGGUUCGACUCCCGU
rnacentral:tRNA from 1 species